rnacentral:tRNA from 1 species
GUGGGUAGAGCUCAGAGGUAGAGCGCAUGACUAGCAUGCACAAGGUCCUGGGUUCAAUUCCCCAGUAUCUCCA